GCUAAUCUGCGAUAAGCGCCGGUAAGGUGAUAUGAACCGUUAUAACCGGCGAUACCCGAAUGGGGAAACCCAGUGUGAUUCGUCACACUAUCAUUAACUGAAUCCAUAGGUUAAUGAGGCGAACCGGGGGAACUGAAACAUCUAAGUACCCCGAGGAAAAGAAAUCAACCGAGAUUCCCCCAGUAGCGGCGAGCGAACGGGGAGGAGCCCAGAGCCUGAAUCAGCAUGUGUGUUAGUGGAAGCGUCUGGAAAGGCGCGCGAUACAGGGUGACAGCCCCGUACACAAAAGCGCAUGUGCUGUGAGCUCGAUGAGUAGGGCGGGACACGUGGUAUCCUGUCUGAAUAUGGGGGGACCAUCCUCCAAGGCUAAAUACUCCUGACUGACCGAUAGUGAACCAGUACCGUGAGGGAAAGGCGAAAAGAACCCCGGCGAGGGGAGUGAAAAAGAACCUGAAACCGUGUACGUACAAGCAGUGGGAGCACCCUUUGGGUGUGACUGCGUACCUUUUGUAUAAUGGGUCAGCGACUUAUAUUCUGUAGCAAGGUUAACCGAAUAGGGGAGCCGGAGGGAAACCGAGUCUUAACCGGGCGUUAAGUUGCAGGGUAUAGACCCGAAACCCGGUGAUCUAGCCAUGGGCAGGUUGAAGGUUGGGUAACACUAACUGGAGGACCGAACCGACUAAUGUUGAAAAAUUAGCGGAUGACCUGUGGCUGGGGGUGAAAGGCCAAUCAAACCGGGAGAUAGCUGGUUCUCCCCGAAAGCUAUUUAGGUAGCGCCUCGUGAAUUCAUCUCCGGGGGUAGAGCACUGUUUCGGCUAGGGGGCCAUCCCGGCUUACCAACCCGAUGCAAACUGCGAAUACCGGAGAAUGUUAUCACGGGAGACACACGGCGGGUGCUAACGUCCGUCGUGAAGAGGGAAACAACCCAGACCGCCAGCUAAGGUCCCAAAGUCAUGGUUAAGUGGGAAACGAUGUGGGAAGGCCCAGACAGCCAGGAUGUUGGCUUAGAAGCAGCCAUCAUUUAAAGAAAGCGUAAUAGCUCACUGGUCGAGUCGGCCUGCGCGGAAGAUGUAACGGGGCUAAACCAUGCACCGAAGCUGCGGCAGCGACACUGUGUGUUGUUGGGUAGGGGAGCGUUCUGUAAGCCUGUGAAGGUGUGUCGUGAGGCAUGCUGGAGGUAUCAGAAGUGCGAAUGCUGACAUAAGUAACGAUAAAGCGGGUGAAAAGCCCGCUCGCCGGAAGACCAAGGGUUCCUGUCCAACGUUAAUCGGGGCAGGGUGAGUCGACCCCUAAGGCGAGGCCGAAAGGCGUAGUCGAUGGGAAACGGGUUAAUAUUCCCGUACUUGGUGUUACUGCGAAGGGGGGACGGAGAAGGCUAUGUUGGCCGGGCGACGGUUGUCCCGGUUUAAGCGUGUAGGUGUGUGUUCCAGGUAAAUCCGGUUCACUUUAACACUGAGGCGUGACGACGAGGCACUACGGUGCUGAAGCAACAAAUGCCCUGCUUCCAGGAAAAGCCUCUAAGCAUCAGGUAACAUCAAAUCGUACCCCAAACCGACACAGGUGGUCAGGUAGAGAAUACCAAGGCGCUUGAGAGAACUCGGGUGAAGGAACUAGGCAAAAUGGUGCCGUAACUUCGGGAGAAGGCACGCUGACACGUAGGUGAAGUGAUUUACUCAUGGAGCUGAAGUCAGUCGAAGAUACCAGCUGGCUGCAACUGUUUAUUAAAAACACAGCACUGUGCAAACACGAAAGUGGACGUAUACGGUGUGACGCCUGCCCGGUGCCGGAAGGUUAAUUGAUGGGGUCAGCGCAAGCGAAGCUCCUGAUCGAAGCCCCGGUAAACGGCGGCCGUAACUAUAACGGUCCUAAGGUAGCGAAAUUCCUUGUCGGGUAAGUUCCGACCUGCACGAAUGGCGUAAUGAUGGCCAGGCUGUCUCCACCCGAGACUCAGUGAAAUUGAACUCGCUGUGAAGAUGCAGUGUACCCGCGGCAAGACGGAAAGACCCCGUGAACCUUUACUAUAGCUUGACACUGAACAUUGAGCCUUGAUGUGUAGGAUAGGUGGGAGGCUUUGAAGUGUGGACGCCAGUCUGCAUGGAGCCGACCUUGAAAUACCACCCUUUAAUGUUUGAUGUUCUAACGUGGACCCGUUACCCGGGUUGCGGACAGUGUCUGGUGGGUAGUUUGACUGGGGCGGUCUCCUCCUAAAGAGUAACGGAGGAGCACGAAGGUUGGCUAAUCCUGGUCGGACAUCAGGAGGUUAGUGCAAUGGCAUAAGCCAGCUUGACUGCGAGCGUGACGGCGCGAGCAGGUGCGAAAGCAGGUCAUAGUGAUCCGGUGGUUCUGAAUGGAAGGGCCAUCGCUCAACGGAUAAAAGGUACUCCGGGGAUAACAGGCUGAUACCGCCCAAGAGUUCAUAUCGACGGCGGUGUUUGGCACCUCGAUGUCGGCUCAUCACAUCCUGGGGCUGAAGUAGGUCCCAAGGGUAUGGCUGUUCGCCAUUUAAAGUGGUACGCGAGCUGGGUUUAGAACGUCGUGAGACAGUUCGGUCCCUAUCUGCCGUGGGCGCUGGAGAACUGAGGGGGGCUGCUCCUAGUACGAGAGGACCGGAGUGGACGCAUCACUGGUGUUCGGGUUGUCAUGCCAAUGGCACUGCCCGGUAGCUAAAUGCGGAAGAGAUAAGUGCUGAAAGCAUCUAAGCACGAAACUUGCCCCGA
rnacentral:rRNA from 1 species